CAUAAUGGCCAAACUUCCUUGUCAGUGCCAAAUCUAGUCUUAUCUUGAAAGCAAAGCAGAGUUGGACCCAGUCAGUACUUGGAUGAGAGAAUACCAGGUACCACAGUGA
rnacentral:rRNA from 1 species